UACGUAGGGGGCUAGCGUUGUCCGGAAUCAUUGGGCGUAAAGCGCGCGUAGGCGGCCCGGUAAGUCCGCUGUAAAAGUCAAAGGCUCAACCUUUGAAUGUCAGUGGAUACUGCCAGGCUAGAGUCCGGAAGAGGCGAGUGGAAUUCCUGGUGUAGCGGUGAAAUGCGCAGAUAUCAGGAGGAACACCGAUGGCGAAGGCAGGUCUCUGGGCAUUAACUGACGCUGAGGAGCGAAAGCAUGGGGAGCGAACAGG
rnacentral:rRNA from 1 species